UACAGAGGUCUCAAGCGUUGUUCGGAUUCAUUGGGCGUAAAGGGUGCGUAGGCGGCGCGGUAAGUCGGGUGUGAAAUCUCGGAGCUUAACUCCGAAACUGCAUUCGAUACUGCCGUGCUUGAGGACUGGAGAGGAGACUGGAAUUUACGGUGUAGCGGUGAAAUGCGUAGAUAUCGUAAGGAAGACCAGUGGCGAAGGCGGCUCUCUGGACCGUAACUGACGCUGAGGCGCGAAAGCGUGGGGAGCAAACAGG
rnacentral:rRNA from 1 species